GUCCUUUUGAUUUUUAUUUAAGGUCUGACCUGCCCACUGAUUUAUUUAAUGGCCGCGGUAUUUUGACCGUGCAAAGGUAGCAUAGUAAUUUGUCUUUUAAUUGAAGGCUUGUAUGAAUGGUUGGACGAGAAAACUACUUUCUUUAUAAUAAAAUUAUUAAUUUUAUUUUUUAGUUAAAAAGCUAAAAUGUUGUUGUAGGACGAGAAGACCCUAUAGAACUUUAUAUUUAUUUUUUUACUAAUAUUUUUGGUUAAUAAUAUAUUGUAUUUUUAUAAAUAUUUUGUUGGGGCGACAAGAAAAUUUAUUUAACUUUUUUUAUUAAUUUCAUUAAUUAAUGUAUAAAUGAUCCUUUAUUAUGGAUAAUUAGAAUAAGUUACCUUAGGGAUAACAGCGUAAUUUUUUUGGAGAGUUCUUAUCGAUAAAAAAGUUUGCGA
rnacentral:rRNA from 1 species